UUAAUUUUAAAAGCAUGCUUUGAUGUAUUCAAUGGGGGAAGAAUUUAUCGAAGACUAAUACAGAUUCGAUAGAUCCGCCUAUCGCGAUAUGAGCUCAAUGAGGAGCUAGUGGAAGCGAGAAGGCAGCAUUAUUACAGAACAAGACAAUGGACCCGCAUGAAAAGAUAUAUUACAUUCACCGCACAACUGAAGAAGCAGCUACCUCAUGGUUUUGAUGUUCCCCUCAUGACACUGAAGGCAGACUGGCCUGAAUGCCAGUGAUCCUCCAUUACAUCUCCACCUGUACGAGUCAAGCAACCAGCUGCAAGAUGGGUGUGCUGUUGGAUGAAGUCUAGGAUUGAUGUGGAUCACCAGUGUUGACCAUAGCUCUUUGCCAUAGACAUUUGUUAAAAUAAAAUCGCCAGACUUUGCUUCAACACCACCAUACAUGAAUGCAAAA